rnacentral:rRNA from 1 species
UACAGAGGGGGCAAGCGUUAUUCGGAAUUAUUGGGCGUAAAGGGCGCGUAGGCGGCCUUGCAAGUGGCGGGUGAAAUCCCUCGGCUUAACCGAGGAACUGCCUGCCAGACUGCAAGGCUCGAGACCGGGAGAGGUGAGUGGAAUUCCCAGUGUAGCGGUGAAAUGCGUAGAUAUUGGGAGGAACACCAGUGGCGAAGGCGGCUAUCUGGACUGGUAUUGACGCUGAGGCGCGAAAGCGUGGGGAGCAAACAGG